UUUCCGUAGGUGAACCUGCGGAAGGAUCAUUAUAAAUGAAAAACGAAUAACUUCAGGGAAGAAGGGAACCUGCACGGUGACCUCCCCUGUCGGGCCACCCAAUACCUUCAAAAUGCCGCCGUCCUAGCGGUGGCAGACGAAAAAAAAACAAGAAAAACAAAAUAGAAACAGGCACGGUGGCCCGUUCACCUUCACACAGCCCUCCGAGUACCGCUUCCAUGUUGCUUCCCCGCAAAUCCACCUCUUUGGUGAGCGCGGGGGAGGUCCGCAUCAAAUUCACCUGAAUGUCACAGCAGUCAGACAGCCAUUCAUGGAAACAAUAAAACUUUCAACAACGGAUCUCUUGGUUCCC
rnacentral:misc_RNA from 1 species